rnacentral:rRNA from 1 species
GAUGAACGCUAGCGGCAGGCCUAACACAUGCAAGUCGAGGGGUAGAAGGAGCUUGCUCCUUUGAGACCGGCGCACGGGUGCGUAACGCGUAUGCAAUCUACCUUGUACAGGGGAAUAGCCCAGAGAAAUUUGGAUUAAUGCCCCAUAGUAUAUAACCUUCGCAUGUUGGUUAUAUUAAAGUUCCAACGGUACAAGUUGAGCAUGCGUCCCAUUAGUUAGUUGGUAAGGUAACGGCUUACCAAGACGAUGAUGGGUAGGGGUCCUGAGAGGGAGAUCCCCCACAAUGGUACUGAGACACGGACCAGACACGUACGGGAGGCAGCAGUAAGGAAGAUUGGUCGAGGGUCGCAGGACUGAACCAGCCAUGCCGCGUGCAGAAAGACGGUCCUAUGGAUUGUAAACUGCUUUUAUACAGGAGGAAUCACUCCCACGUGUGGGGGCUUGACGGUACUGUAGGAAUAAGGAUCGGCUAACUCCGUG